UCCCUGUUGGCUCAGAUGGUAAAGUGUCUGCUUACAAUGCGGGAGACCUGGGUUCGAUCCCUGGGUCGGGAA
rfam:TPA: Bos taurus chromosome 23, whole genome shotgun sequence.